GCCUGGGUGGCUCAGUUGGUUGAGCGUCCGACUUCAGUUCAGGUCAUGAUCUCGCAGUUUGUGGGUUCGAGCCCCGCGUCAGGUU
rnacentral:tRNA from 1 species